CCUCCAAACGCGACCACGAGUCACCCUCCCCCUCGCCCAUCUCCCUCCCGCUUGUGGACAGUAGCGGCGGCCGAGAUCCGCAUCCUCCCCAUCUCCGGCAACUACAGUAGCUCGCCUAAGGCAAGCAGAUGGUGGGUUACUCACCCCCUUCCCCUCUCAGGCCCUUGGAGCGGCUUGUCGGCGUGAUCCGUGCCUCUGCCCCCUCUCAAGAUCCUAGACCGCCGGCGGCAAGCCGGUGGUGGGCUCCUCCUUCGCUUCUCACGCCCAUGAUCAAGUUGAUGGCUAUAAAGCUUCUUGUCCACAAACAGGAGAUUCAGCUAAUUUUGAACCAAAGAUUCAGAAAUUUGGUUGAAUACAUAUAAGGGGGGAGCACGACAGUAGUGGUGCUCGUUGAAGUCUUUCGCCUUGCAUACUGGAAUCCAAGUCGAAUGAAAAGCAUGGUGAAUUAAGGGAGCAAAGAGCAGCAUCAAUGCUACACUUUGAAGCUGAAUCAUGGUCAAAGCCUCAAAGAUGGGUGAUGCUCUGACACCAGAAGCAUCUCGAGUACAUAUGGACAGAAGAAGUGUACAACUGCAAGGGCGAAACUCAUUUGCGUGUGAGAUAAUUUUAAUUCCUUUGUUGAAUGUACACCAACACAGACUUGUGCUGAACUGAAUCAUAUUCGUUUGGUGUUAUCUCUCCCUGCAAAUGAAGCUUGACGAGCGACAAGCAUUUGAACCGGAGGCAAACGUCAACUGAACAAUAUUAUGUCAUGUACAAUCAAGAUAGCAAAUGCUCGCUGAGCGGUUGAUCAUUUUAGUACUUAAUAUUCAGUUUUGCUGGUCAUGUAAUAAAAAUAAUCAUGUCAUGUUAUGGAUCACUUCAUUGCAUGUAUGUGGAUCAAAGUCGACCCAGAAAUGGAAUACCUUGCUCACAAACAUUUUCACCAGCCUAUUCAGA